rnacentral:rRNA from 1 species
AGUUAGAGGUGAAUCCCCGGGUCUCACCCUGGACUGCCUUCUAAAACUCCUAGUCUUGAGUUCGAGAGAGGUGAGUGGAAUUCCAAGUGUAGAGGUGAAAUUCGUAGAUAUUUGGAGGAACACCAGUGGCGAAGGCGGCUCACUGGCUCGAUACUGAC